GCACCACAAUGGGAACUCAAAAGCAGGUGUCUUUAUCCUCAUCUUUUAAUGAGAAAACUGAGGCUCAGAAAGGUGGGAGUGAUUUGCCCAGCGUCACAUGGGCAAGGACCAGUGAUGUGAUUCAAAGCCGGCAGUUCUGAGCCCUGAGCCUAUUUUUCCCUCUGUCUCCCAGAGCUCCAGACACAAGGAUUGCAGGUGUGCUGGGGAGCCCCGAAGGGGAGUCCCCCCACUCCUACGCUGAUCCCUCCGGCCCCCCUAAACUUGAGGGACCAGGCCCCCUGCAGCUGGGGCCACUGUUACCCCAGAGCCUGUCCCUUCUCAGCAGCCUGUGGUGAUAGCCUUUCCCAGGAGCCCAAGGGGGUGGUUUGCAUACCUCGGGUGUCAUUUGCAUACUACUUAGGAAACGCCUUUGCUUUUCCCACCUGCAGCAAACUCCAGGCUGAUUAGUUCUCCCCACGCUGGAGAGUUAAUUACUCUCCCGCGUAGACCGGGUGUUUAUUUGUAAUCAGCAGAGGGCUGGGAAGAGGGGGAGGAAACAGGCUGAAGCAGCUGUUAUUGGCCCAAAUUCCGAAGCAGCCCAGGGGACAGAAACAGAAGAAGGAGCUGAUCACCGCAGACCCUCGCCCAAAUCCCAGCUCUGCCCUGGGGAUGCUCCCCUUCAAGGAAAGGAGAAGGAGGGUUGGAGCUGAGGUAGGGAAGUGUAGGACAAUUGCCUGCUGAGAGGGGGCGGCUGGGACCAAGGAGGAGGCACGGAACAUCACCAUGAAAAGCAGUGCGUGGGGAGUUCCUGGCUCAAAGGCAUUUCUAGAUGCUUCAGCACCUGCUCUCUACUUGUCAGAUGCAAAAAGCAUGCCCAGCCCCUGUGUCAAGUUGGAGAGACCCUCAGUUGCUGUCAAACCUCCAGAAAGGUCCUGGGCUGCCUGCCUCAGCUCACCCAGGGCACUUGUGGAAACUGCAGAAGCUCCGCCCCAGAGAUUCUGUUGCAGAAGAUGGGGAGACUGAGGCCCUGGGGUGGCGGGUGAUCUGUGCACGGACACUCUGCAGAGAUGAAUGUCUUUUGAACCCAAGACCCCUGCCUCCAGCCAACAGUGGCCUCUCUUGACGAAAGUCUAUGGCAGAGAGAGACUGGGCGAUGAUGUGGAGGUCACAGUGGGAGAGCCUGCCUGGAGUUCUUGGCUAUGAUCUUGGACCCUACGUGGAGAUGAAGGCACCGAUUCCUUGCUCUCCUGGGAGGCAGAGGAGCCUCUCCUUCAGCCCACCCCUUCCUACCAAGAUAGGCUUCCCGACCCCUGACUAUAUGCUGAGAAUGGACUCAUGGAUGGAGACCUUGCAAGGAGGACAAGGGUUUCCUCUCAUCCCUACAUCUCUGCCUCCCCUCCAGGACCCUGAGCUCCCCGAGAAAAGGAAGAAAAUGUCAUCCCCUCUGACUGAAGGUGUCCCUGUGAUCUUCACGGGGUUAUUGCCGACCCAUUACUUUUCACACUAAUGACAUGCUCAUCGCUGUCAAUGCCUUUUUAUUUCUUGAGAAGUGUUUAUACUCUUGCAACAGCCUGAUAAGUGAAAUCAUCUAACACUUGGAAACAAGGCAAAUAGAUAACUGGUGUUCUUUCAAAGGCAAAUUAGAGUGGUGGCUAACAAGCCCUCCUAAGGGUCAUCUGACACUCCAGGGGAAUGUCACUUUGCUUGACUUAUUAUUUACUAUUGAUUAGGGCCCAGGCUCUGUAAAGAUAGCUGUUAGCUGGUAGAAAACUGAUAAGUUGCCAAUUGUUUUUGUCUGGUUGAAAUGCAAAUGGUCACUUCUCAAUAGAAAAGAUAACCCCAGCAUUAUGAUUUUAUUGCUGCAUAGAACCUUAAUCAGUUUUGCAUCUAACUUAGCAUACUUAGGAAUAGUCCAGAAUUCUUGGGGGGGGGGUUGGGUUAUUGUUUUUGUUUUUCCUGAAUCUUUCCACCUAUAGUUAGAUAUAAGGUUUUUGUCCUCAUACCCUUCAUCUAACUAGUUUUGUUCCUUCAUUUGUAAGCUACAUAAAAUUAACAUGUGCUCACUAUGUAUUUCUACAUAGAAUUGUGUAUUUCAUGUUUUGAAAGCUAUACUUUGAGAAGAUUUUCACAGUAUUUGGUUUUUCCUCGUGCUAACUCUGCCACUCUCUGUGUGACCUUGGGCAAGUCUUUCUAUCUCUGGUCUUAAGUUAUUUCAUAUGUAAAACAGGAGCAACCAGGCUGACCAUUCUGGCUCUGACAUAAUAUUUCUAACUCCUCUUGCGGGGAAGCAAGACUAACACAAUGCAAUCAAAGAUGUUGCUGGAAGGGAUGUUACAGACCAGCCUUCCUGCUUCCCACCAUGCCUUCAUCUUGACAGAAGGAGAAACUGAGGCUCAGAGGGGUUAGGUAACUUGCCCAAGGUCACACAGAUAUUAUUCAUAAUGAUGACUUAUUUUGCUGUUGUGUUUGACAGUAUAAACUUCCUCAUAUAUUCCUAUAAUCCCUCAGCAGCCCACUGAGCAGGCUGUAUCAUCCCCAUUUAACAGAUAAAGAAACUGAGGCCCAGCAAAGUGAUGUGGCUUGCCCAAGGUCAUAGGGAGAUUUCAGCCCCCCCAAGCCCCUGAAUCCUGGGGACCACCCUUAAGUAUCAUUGUCUGGAGUUUUUGUAUAUAUGUGUGAUGUCAUACAAGACGGCAAAUGAAAAAGGAGUCCCAAAGCCUUGAAAACUCUGGCCCUAGACUCUCAUGACCUGCCCAGGUACAACAGCCCUCCCUCUUCUCCUCUUCUUCUCCUCCUCCCUCUGGCAAAAUUCUCAGGAAAAAAUUUUAAAAAACCAUGGUGGGAGUUCCCAUCGUGGCACAGCAGAAAUGAAUCCUACUAGGAACC